GCAUGAAUGGGGUAGUGGUAACCUGGGUCGUUGCCAUGGUCGUCUUGAUGCUCAUGUGAUUUCGACCCGCCGGGGGUUCAAUUCCCCCUUGAUGCA